UACGUAGGUGGCAAGCGUUGUCCGGAUUUACUGGGUGUAAAGGGCGUGUAGCCGGGCUGACAAGUCAGAUGUGAAAUUCCGGGGCUCAACCCCGGACCUGCAUUUGAAACUGUUGGUCUUGAGUAUCGGAGAGGCAGGCGGAAUUCCUAGUGUAGCGGUGAAAUGCAUAGAUAUCGCGCAGAACUCCGAUUGCGAAGGCAGCAUGCCGGCUCCACACUGACGCUGAGGCACGAAAGCGUGGGUAUCGAACAGG
rnacentral:rRNA from 1 species